AGUGAACGCUGGCGGUAGGCCUAACACAUGCAAGUCGAACGGCAGCACAGUAAGAGCUUGCUCUUACGGGUGGCGAGUGGCGGACGGGUGAGGAAUACAUCGGAAUCUACUUUUUCGUGGGGGAUAACGUAGGGAAACUUACGCUAAUACCGCAUACGACCUACGGGUGAAAGCAGGGGAUCUUCGGACCUUGCGCGAUUGAAUGAGCCGAUGUCGGAUUAGCUAGUUGGCGGGGUAAAGGCCCACCAAGGCGACGAUCCGUAGCUGGUCUGAGAGGAUGAUAGACCAAAUGGGAACGGAGCCACGGGCCAGACUCCUAGGGGAGGCAGGAGGGGGGAAAUUUGGACAAUGGGCGAAAGCCUGAUCCAGCCAACCCGGGGGGGUGAAGAAGGCCUGCGGGUUGUAAAGCCCUUUUGUUGGGAAAAAAGGGCAGCAGGUUAAAACCCCGCUGUUCUGACGGUACCCAAAGAAUAAGCACCGGCUAACUUCGU
rnacentral:rRNA from 1 species